ensembl:lncRNA
UAGCAUAGCAUGAUGGUCUAGGGUAGCAUUAUGGUCCAGGAUAGCAUGAUGGUCUAGGAUAGCAUCAUGGUCUAGGAUAGCAUGAUGGUCUAGGAUAGCAUGAUGGUCCAGGAUAGCAUCAUGGUCUAGGGUAGCAUGAUGUUUCAGGAUAGCAUCAUGGUCUAGGAUAGCAUGAUGGUUUAGGAUGGCAUGAUGGUCUAGGGUAGCAUGAUGGUUUAGGAUGGCAUGAUGGUCUAGGGUAGCAUGAUGGUCUAGGAUAGCAUGAUGGUCUAGGGUAGCAUGAUGGUUUAGGAUGGCAUGAUGGUCUAGGGUAGCAUGAUGGUCUAGGGUAGCAUGAUGGUCUAGGAUAGCAUGAUGGGGAUAGCAGAGCUGACGCAGAGGACUCUCAUACAGGAUCAUGACUCUGCAUUGAAAGAAUAAUAAUAAUCAUCUUUUCUCUCUUUGUCUAUCUGUGGUUCUCUACUUCUGAAUCAGAUCUUGACACAUUCUCUCUCUUUUGAUUAUCUGUGACAGAUUUGAUUUACUUCCAACCCCAGCCGCUCAUCUGCUGUCACCAACCAUUUGAUGAAGAGCAAAGAGAGCAAUUUGCCAUUGGUUAUUAACAAAUCACUGUGCUGUGAAAAGCACCUUUUGUUUUCCUCAGCUUCGAAAACAAUUACAGUCAGCUUGUAUUUCUGUUCCAUAUUUCAUGACGACGCUCCAAUUAUGGUGAAAUUGAAAAGCAGAUUUACUUUUCACAGUCAAUGAAAGAAGCUGAAAAUUUGUUUAAAGUCCAAAUCAAACUUCUUAGAUCCCGCACCAUGACGUCUCUACUUUGGUUAUUCACAUGGUCGAUCAUUUUAUUGGAUGCAUGCUGAUUUUAAUUCAUCUAGCAAUAAUUUGUCCGUACAAAGAUGUGAUUGUAGCUGAGCACAAAGACUGUCAACUUUGGGAAACAGUCAGCCUGGCUUUCUCCAAAGCUAACAGAAUCCAACCAACCAGAAACUCACUCCUUGAAAUGUUGUACCGAACAAAGUAUAACAACUAAAGUUGACAUUUUCCAAGGGGUUAUGUGCCCAAGUGUUUCCUGGCAGUAACUUAUUCCCAGACAUUCAGAGGAGGCCAAGAAAGAAGUCGGCACAGUGUAAAACUAUUGUUUUUAAUCCAAAUUGUGGAAAAACCUACUUGAUAAUUUUUACUUAACUCUUGGAUAAUAAGGGUUUGGUUUGAAUUACACUUUUCAUGCAGACCAAUACACAUGUGCUUCAUACUAUAGAUUAUUUUAUGUGCAUGUACACAUGUUUCUUGCUUGUGUGCAUACAUGGUGAUAUUUCUGCUUUGGCCUUCCAGGAGCUUGGCCAAUUCUCUAUUUCACAGAGAUAUAUUGAGCAGUAAAAUGGUCUUCUGGGUUGCUAUCGUGAGAAACAUUCAUGUGUGCAAGGCGUCAGAGGUGCAAGACCAUUAAUGAGUGAACCAGAGAAGCUCCUUUGUCUACACACAUAAGCAAUUAAAACCAUGUUUUGUGAAGGUGUUGGAGGUCAAUACGAUCAUUUGUAUUGAAAGCAUGUCAUGAGGUCUUUCAUCUUCUGUUCAUUCAUUUAGUGGGUAUAGAAUUUAAUCUAAACACUUUAUUUUGAAACAGUUUCCGUGUUAAGGUAUUGUGUGUGUCAGUGUGUGUAAUGUGGAAAGUGGUUACAGCAGUGUCACAAAUAGGUUGUUUACAGAAAACUAACAUUAUUAAAGUGCCGUGCUGCUUUUACUGUCAGCACAACAAAACAAGUGCCCGUCCGAGGUCAAAUUUAUAUUAUUUAUAGAUAUGUCUGCCUUUAUUGGAUAUCAUAUAUGGAUUUAUUAGUUUACCGUUUAUUCUGUGUAUGUUAGCGUAGAAUUGCAUUUGGCAGUGACAUGGACACCAUGAAACACAGUGUACAUGUAAUAAAAUACGAAACACGCAGUGUUAUUUAACUGAUGUUGUUCUGAGUGGCGACUAUAGAAAGAAACCAUUUCUCUUUGCUCUGCAGCGCCAGCCUGAAGUUCCCCCCCCGUUGUGUCCAAGGUGUGAAAGGUCGGCAGUGAUGUGAUCAUUUAUGAACGGAGGGAAGGUUAGCACUGGAUUUUCUCUGAAGUCUUCACUCUGUGGUGUUCCUGUUUGCUGGCUGAUAAGAAGCACACAUUGAUGGAUGUGCAGAGAGCAGACUGGCUGUUUGCAGUCUGUUUAGUAAGUGACAAAAAUGUCCUAAACACAGGUUCCUGGUGUUAUUGUGUGUAGAAAAACUGAAUCAUAAUCACAGCAGCCAGUUUGGGCUUGUUGUCUCCGAGAAUCUUUGGUGAGCCCACCUGACAAAAGGUAGUUCCAGAGACUCAACCACAGUGUUGGACUGGCGGCUACUGACCUUGUAAUUAGGGGGCAGCGUGUCUGGGCGAGACAUCGUGUGCUGUGACUGAGCUCUGAGCCCGGCACACUUACAUCAGAACAAGACAUCUAAGCUGUCGUACAGAUGUAAAGUUAUUUUAAGUAGGAAUGGGAC